UACGAAGGGGGCUAGCGUUGCUCGGAAUCACUGGGCGUAAAGCGCACGUAGGCGGGUUGCUAAGUCAGGGGUGAAAUCCUGGAGCUCAACUCCAGAACUGCCUUUGAUACUGGCGGCCUUGAGUCCGGGAGAGGUGAGUGGAACUGCGAGUGUAGAGGUGAAAUUCGUAGAUAUUCGCAAGAACACCAGUGGCGAAGGCGGCUCACUGGCCCGGUACUGACGCUGAGGCGCGAAAGCCAGGGGAGCAAACGGG
rnacentral:rRNA from 1 species